AUGGACGUGACCAUGGAGGACGUGGUCGGGGAUCUCGAGAUCUCCGGCUAUAGCUCCAUCUCCACCUCCCCGUCCUCCUCCCUUGACGACGGCAUGGGGCUGUACGGCUGGAAUGCGCUCUCCCCGGUCGCCGACUGGGGCCUGUUCUCCUCCGACGACGGCGGCCACGACCUCCACGGCCUGAUCGAGUCCAUGCUCUGCGAUGACGCUCUCAUCGGCAAGCCCGACGAGCACCCAACCAUGUUCACGGACGGCCCCUGCUACUCCAACGCGUCCGAGCCGAGCAGCACCACCACGACGAACCCAGGCACGCCCGUGCAGCACGACGACACGCCGGACUGCAAUCCCGAGAAGGGCCUCCGGCUGCUGCAUCUCCUCAUGGCCGCCGCCGAGGCGCUCUCCGGCCCACACAAGAGCCGGGAGCUGGCACGGGUGAUAUUGGUUCGGCUCAAGGAGAUGGUCUCCAGCACCAGCGGCAACGCCGGCGCGUCCAACAUGGAGCGCCUCGCCGCGCACUUCACCGACGCGCUCCAGGGGCUCCUCGAUGGGUCCCACUCCGUCGCUGGGACCAGCAGGCAAGCCGCCAUGGCCGCGUCACACCACCACAGCACCGGCGACGUGCUGACGGCAUUCCAGAUGCUCCAGGACAUGUCGCCGUACAUGAAGUUCGGCCACUUCACCGCGAACCAGGCGAUCCUGGAGGCAGUGGCGGGCGACCGGCGCGUCCACAUCGUGGACUAUGACCUCGCCGAGGGCAUCCAGUGGGCAUCCCUGAUGCAGGCCAUGACCUCACGACCCGACGGCGUGUCGCCUCCGCACCUGCGUAUCACCGCCAUCACGCGGAGUGGCGGGGGCGGUGCGCGGGCAGUCCAAGAGGCCGGACGGCGCCUCGCGGCCUUCGCGGGAUCCAUCGGACAGCCCUUCUCGUUCGGACAUUGCCGUCUGGACUCGGACGAGAGGUUCCGGCCGGCGACGGUCAGGAUGGUCAAGGGGGAGACGCUCGUGGCCAACUGCAUACUCCACCAAGCCGCGGCGACGACCACCGUCAGACGGCCCACCGGCUCGGUGGCGUCGUUCUUGACCGGCAUGGCCUCUCUCGGGGCCAAGGUGGUGACGGUGGUGGAGGAGGAAGGGGAAGCGGAGAAGAACGAGGAGGAGGCGAGCGACGCCGCGGCGGGAGGCUUCGUGGGCCGGUUCAUGGAGGAGCUACACCGGUACUCAGCGGUGUGGGACUCGCUGGAGGCCGGGUUCCCGACGCAGAGCCGGGUGCGCGGCCUCGUAGAGCGGGUCAUCCUCGCCCCCAACAUCGCCGGCGCCGUGAGCCGCGCGUACCGAGGGACGGACGGCGAGGGCAGGCGCGGGUGGGGCGAGUGGAUGCGCGGGAGCGGGUUCGAGAUGGUGCCGCUGAGCUGCUUCAACCACAGCCAGGCCAGGCUGCUCCUCGGGCUGUUCAACGACGGGUACACGGUGGAGGAGACGAGACCGAACAAGAUCGUGCUCGGCUGGAAGGCCCGGCGGCUGCUGUCGGCCUCCGUGUGGGCGCCGCCGCCACUGUCGGUGCCAUCGUCGCCGGCAGACGGGGUGUGCCAGCCCAUGGGGAUGGCGCCGUCCAGCGGCGGCUUUGGCCGGACGGAGUACGACUACGUUGACUCGUUCCUUGUGGAACCUGCUUACGCGCUAGUCUGA
rnacentral:rRNA from 1 species